ACCAUUUGCAUAUCAAUCUUUAAGGGAAACAUCCUUUUAAUGUGUUUAUGUGGCCUUGUCUCCGUUUUAUUGCUACUUUGUGUCAUACUCAAAAUAAGUUGACUAUAAAGCUACAUGUAUCUACACAAAAAGAGAGUUUAUUUAGUAUGCUUGCUUGGGAAUAAGCAGGAGACAAAAGAAAACAUCCAAGUUAAAACAUGAAGCAGCAAAAGAGAGUGUUCAUCCACAAAAUGUGAGAGGUUUCUUAGCAUAUAAAGAUAUUGAUAUAAAUCUAAUCAUUCUCGUAAGAACAAGAACAAAAUGAAAGAGCCAAAAACUAAACCCAUCUUUCACUUUUUAGAUACGAGAAGUGCCACGAUCUUUUGAAGAUCUUCCUGAUUUUGCUUUGCAACCUUUGUAAUCUCAUCAAGCCGGUGCAUGUAGAGAGCAUUUUUGGCACUCAUCUCUUUCUUAAACUCAUGGAUAACCACACUCUUCUUGUUUAUCUCCAACCACAAGUCGGCUAGGCUUCUAUCCGUUUUAGAGGUGUUCCAUAACCCCCAAACGAAGGAGAUGCAAGUAAGAGAGCCAAAGAAACACCAAGUGAGAAACGAGGUAUAGGUUUGUGAGAAAUCUCUGGAGGCCUUACCUAGGCAAGUGUACUCCACAAAAGUUUGAUGCUCCUUCCCUUUAGCUUUAGCCAGUAGUUGAAGCUUCUUAGCUUGAGAUAUGUUGAUAAAUUUGAGAAACUUCCAUUUGCGUUUGACGCUCCUCUCGCAUGAUCUCUUGACCCCGAUGUAAUGAAGCCUAGUUGCUAAAAGUUUAAAAACCUUGAACCAUGUCGAUUGUGGAUCGUCAUUAGGUGUGUAAUCAUCAUCGUCAUUAUUGCUGGAUCCAUCAUCACUCUUUUUCCCAUCGCCGGAUCCAUCAUUGCUCUUUUUCUCACCGGAUCCAUCAUCAUCACUCUUUUUUUCACCAGAUCCAUCAUUAGAACUCCUUACAAUUUUAUAAUACUAAAUUUUGAAUAAAUUAAA
rnacentral:sRNA from 1 species